ACCCUGUCAGGGUCGCUCCUGGAGAGUUUCCAGUACUCUACCAGUCUCGACUGCGGGAGGGAGAGUCACACAGAGGCAUACCCAUUCCAUUCCUUGCUUGGCCAGUGACUAGUGAGUGGAAGGCAAUCUGCUACAAGU